UCUCCGUAGGUGAACCUGCGGAGGGAUCAUUACAAGAACGCCCGGGCUUCGGCCUGGUUAUUCAUAACCCUUGUUGUCCGACUCUGUUGCCUCCGGGGCGACCCUGCCUUCGGGCGGGGGCUCCGGGUGGACACUUCAAACUCUUGCGUAACUUUGCAGUCUGAGUAAACUUAAUUAAUAAAUUAAAACUUUUAACAACGGAUCUCUUGGUUCUG
rnacentral:misc_RNA from 1 species